rnacentral:rRNA from 1 species
ACAGGGAAGCUUCGGGAGCUAGUUGAUGCAGCGGUGAGGAGAGGUGUUGAUAUCCUUUGCGUCCAAGAAACCAAAUGGAGAGGACAGAAGGCGAAGGAGGUGGAGGAUACCGGCUUCAAGCUGUGGUACACGGGGACGGCUGCAGACAGAAACGGCGUAGGCAUCUUGAUCAACAAGAGCCUCAAGUAUGGAGUGGUAGACGUCAAGAGACGUGGGGACCGAAUUAUCCUGGUCAAGCUGGUAGUUGAGGACUUGGUUCUCAAUGUUAUCAGCGCGUAUGCCCCGCAAGUAUGCCACAAUGAGAACACCAAGAGGGAGUUCUAG